rnacentral:rRNA from 1 species
UAGGGAAUAUUGGACAAUGGGGGCAACCCUGAUCCAGCCAUGCCGCGUGAGUGAAGAAGGCCCUCGGGUUGUAAAGCUCUUUUGUCCGGAAAGAAAAGCUUCGGGUUAAUACCCCGGGGUUCUGACGGUACCGGAAGAAUAAGCACCGGCUAACUUCGUGCCAGCAGCCGCGGUAAUACGAAGGGUGCAAGCGUUACUCGGAAUUACUGGGCGUAAAGCGUGCGUAGGUGGUUCGUUAAGUCUGAUGUGAAAGCCCUGGGCUCAACCUGGGAAUGGCAUUGGAAACUGGCGGACUGGAGUGCGGUAGAGGGUAGCGGAAUUCCCGGUGUAGCAGUGAAAUGCGUAGAGAUCGGGAGGAACAUCCGUGGCGAAGGCGGCUACCUGGACCAGCACUGACACUGAGGCACGAAAGCGUGGGGAGCAAACA